UACGUAGGGUGCGAGCGUUGUCCGGAAUCAUUGGGCGUAAAGGGCGCGUAGGCGGCUUCUCAAGCGUGCGGUGAAAGUCAGGGGCUCAACCCCUGAUCGGCCGUGCGAACUGGGGGGCUGGAGCACUGUAGAGGCAGGCGGAAUUCCGGGUGUAGCGGUGGAAUGCGUAGAGAUCCGGAAGAACACCGGUGGCGAAGGCGGCCUGCUGGGCAGUGGCUGACGCUGAGGCGCGACAGCGUGGGGAGCAAACAGG
rnacentral:rRNA from 1 species